UAGAGCGAGGGGGAAAAACUCGCGGUACUAGUAAGUACUGGGCUUUUUAACAACCUGAAAUCCCCAUCUCGUCCAAAUCGAGCUCCCCUCCUCGCUGCCGCCGCCCCACGAAUCUGCACACACACUCCACAUUCUUCGCCAAUUCCCCAAACCCACCGCCGCGCCAUCGUCGACCUAGGCUGCGACCACCAUGGUCGCCGUCGUCGUCUCCUCCAUGGAGGUCCGACCCGCCAGGAUCAAGCCGCGGCCUGAGCCUGCCAUGGGGAAUCCGCCCCGAUUGCAGCGUGUAGGCAGGCACUGUAGGAAGAGGAAGAGGGAGGAGGGAGGGGGACGGGGGAGGGCAGCGCCCGUAGCCGCGUGCACGUGGCCGUGGCGCCGGAGUGGCGGAGGAGGGGUAGGGCGGUGCUCGUCGCGGCGGCCUCGACAGGCAACUACGUGGUGCCACCUUCCUCCAACACCGGCCGCCUCGUGCUGCGGCUGCUGGCAGUGGCGCAGCGAGUCUCCCACCUUACCACCACCGCUGCUUGCCGUCCGUCCCUCCUUCCGUCCAUGGCGGCGGCGACCUCCGGCGUCAGCAGGCUCAGCGCGGUGGCAGGCAACAACAACGGCGACGUCGGCCUCCAAGACUCCUGGCCUCUGUUGGAAUAUUUUCGGGCAUUGUCUCAUCAAUUUUACCGAACUCCUGAACACCAUAGAUUUGUGCGGCAACAGGUGGUCAAUCAGGGUUCUGGUGGCGAUGUCGAUGGUCGUCGAGAGGUUCGUGGACUGGAUGGUGUCGUGGCUGCUGAUGUACGGAGAGGCGAAGCUGCUGCUCGUCAUCUACCUCUGGCACCCCAGCACACGGGGUGCGGGCCAUGUGUACGAUGGCUUCCUCCAUCUGCUGGUGGCGUUACACGAGGCCGACAUCGACCGGGGCCUGCUUGAGCUGAUGGCUAGAGCGAGGGACGUGACGACGUCACAACUCAAGGCGGCGGCUGCCAUCGGUCAAGUGUGGCUAGUCGAGGCUGCCCGCUGUGUUUCGUCGCAGUUGCAGGCCGCGAGAUCAGGCCGGGAAGGCGCCACGCAUUGACGAGGCCAUGUGUACGAUGGCUUCCUCCAUCUGCUGGUGGCGUUACACGAGGCCGACAUCGACCGGGGCCUGCUUGAGCUGAUGGCUAGGGCGAGGGACGUGACGACGUCACAACUCAAGGCGGCGGCUGCCAUCGGUCAAGUGUGGCUAGUCGAGGCUGCUCGCUGUGUUUCGUCGCAGUUGCAGGCCGCGAGAUCAGGCCGGGAAGGCGCCACGCAUUGACGAGAUCACAGAGGAAUAUCAAAUGUAGCACCAGUUGACUGUCCACUCUGAUCCCGCUAUUGGCACCAGAAGUGGACCAAUCAGAACAGGGAGCAUUGGAUAAAACAAGAAUCCAUGACCACAUGAGCAAUCUUCGGUUCUCUCUAUCACCAACAUCAUUUUUCAGGCCUAUCUGAACUGCAAACUACUUUGCCAAUUGGGCUUUGUUGUUAACUUUGGUAUUGACUCACAAUUACAUAGGUUAAUACUCUUGCAGCAGAAAGACUGUACACCCUUUGCUGAGCCUCAACAAUGGAUUAUGAAGAUUCUACUGAUAGAUUAUUAUCAACACGGCUUUCAACAAAGCCGGUUCCGUACAAUUGCUGAGAAAAAUCCAGGGCAGUCUUAGGUGAUUGCUGCUAGCCAAGGGUGUGUCAGGCGGCCGUUGUGAUGGGGAUCGACGAUCCUGCAAGGGGCCGCCGAGCGGCUGUUGCGGACUGGCCAUGGACGCUGUGACCGUUGCGGGGAAGGGAACGCGUGGUGGGCGAGCUUAUUGUUGGUUGCUAUGACACUGAGUGGUGAGUGAGGUGGGAAGAGACUUGAAGCAUCACCGAGCGCUCAGAGCAUCAACAAUGAAGCAUUACCACUGCUGCAAUGGAGCAUUCGUUAGGCCAUCGAAACAUCAUCGGUGCUGCAAUGGAGCUUCUCGGGCAGUCGGAGCAUAGCCGACACUGCAUUGGAGCACCGUUGGGCCUCCAAAACAUCAUCGGUGCUACGGUGGAGCUUCUCGGGCCGUCGGAGCAUCCCGGUGCUGCAUUGGAGAAUCGUCGGGCCUCCGAAACAUCACCGAUGCUGCAGUGGAGCUUCUCUGGCCGUCGGAGCAUCGCCGGAGCAUAAUUGACGCUGCAAUGGAGCAUCGCCAGGUCAUCGAAGCAUUGCCCGAGCAUCACUUGCGACAGAGCAUCGCUGAGCCGCCGGAGCAUCACCACCAGAGCAAUGGAGCAUCGGCGGUGCUUCAAGGGCAGCAGGGAUGCUGGGUUGGUGGCUGGAAACACUGCGAGGAGACAUGUGGCAUGGGGGAUGGAAAUGAUGGUGCAAUUGUACCAGGGAAUCAAGCGGCCCAAAUCAAAUUCUAUAGGCUCAAAUCAAUGGCUGCCUGGCUGGUCAGGCGUCUGAUCUUUUCCUAAGAUCAGCCGGCUGACGAGUAGCAGCUGCCAGGAAAUAAUGCCGGGACAGAGCUUGUAUGCCAUCCAAUAAGGUCUCGAUGUUGUCUAUUCAUUCGUAUCUUCUUGACAGGCUCACAUCAGAACAUUAAUUUUGGUUUACC